AUGUUUUACUGAAUCACAUUCUUCAAAAGCUAUGGAUUAAUGUCUUCUUCUACAAUCGCCAUGGAUAUGCAGGAUUACUCGCACUGCUCCAUUCGGUGCAAUUUGGCACUUAAUAAUAAGGUUGACAAGACGGAUUGAAUGCAUUAUUAGGACUAUAUACUUGCAUCUGCCAUUGAUUGUUCGUUUCUGCGUUUGAGUCUUUCCCAAGAACCUCACAUCCAUUCCAGCAAGGGAUGUAGCUGCCAGCAUUGCAUAGCCUGAGCUAACUAAUGCGAUGGACAUGUACUCAUCCAUCGUUAGUAUGUAUUUCCAUCGUUAGUAUGUAUUUCUGAGCGAACCAUUUAGAUUCAAUGAAUUAUGC
rnacentral:misc_RNA from 1 species